UACGAAGGGGGCUAGCGUUCUCGGAAUCACUGGGCGUAAAGGGUGCGUAGGCGGGUCUUUAAGUCAGGGGUGAAAUCCUGGAGCUCAACUCCAGAACUGCCUUUGAUACUGAAGAUCUUGAGUUCGGGAGAGGUGAGUGGAACUGCGAGUGUAGAGGUGAAAUUCGUAGAUAUUCGCAAGAACACCAGUGGCGAAGGCGGCUCACUGGCCCGAUACUGACGCUGAGGCACGAAAGCGUGGGGAGCAAACAGG
rnacentral:rRNA from 1 species